rnacentral:rRNA from 2 species
AGACCCGAAACCCGGUGAUCUAGCCAUGGGCAGGUUGAAGGUUGGGUAACACUAACUGGAGGACCGAACCGACUAAUGUUGAAAAAUUAGCGGAUGACCUGUGGCUGGGGGUGAAAGGCCAAUCAAACCGGGAGAUAGCUGGUUCUCCCCGAAAGCUAUUUAGGUAGCGCCUCGUGAAUUCAUCUCCGGGGGUAGAGCACUGUUUCGGCUAGGGGGCCAUCCCGGCUUACCAACCCGAUGCAAACUGCGAAUACCGGAGAAUGUUAUCACGGGAGACACACGGCGGGUGCUAACGUCCGUCGUGAAGAGGGAAACAACCCAGACCGCCAGCUAAGGUCCCAAAGUCAUGGUUAAGUGGGAAACGAUGUGGGAAGGCCCAGACAGCCAGGAUGUUGGCUUAGAAGCAGCCAUCAUUUAAAGAAAGCGUAAUAGCUCACUGGUCGAGUCGGCCUGCGCGGAAGAUGUAACGGGGCUAAACCAUGCACCGAAGCUGCGGCAGCGAACGUAUCACCCAAGACAACUUUACGGAGUUGACGAUUGACGGAGCGAAGCGACGUCAAAGCGUUCAUUAAAGUCGAGUUGGCUUAGGGAUACGUUCGUUGGGUAGGGGAGCGUUCUGUAAGCCUGUGAAGGUGUGUCGUGAGGCAUGCUGGAGGUAUCAGAAGUGCGAAUGCUGACAUAAGUAACGAUAAAGCGGGUGAAA